rnacentral:tmRNA from 1 species
GGGGUUGUACUGGUUUCGACGGGGGUUUUGAAAUUAAAGUAGCCACUCGCGGUCUGGGUCCGCGUCACCAAUCCGGAAAAUAAACAUAAACGCAGACGAAAAUUUAGCGUACGCUGCCUAGCGGCAGCUGUCGAACUUAAACCACUCACAGUUUAAGAGCUCGGCAUCAAAUGAUGUGAGGCACUUCGUUUCCAAAGCUUUGAGGGAAUGGAAGAAUUCAUGAAGCUACUAAAACUUAAAGCCUGUCAUUAGGCGGUAAGCAGAGGGAAUGUUAAAAUAAUGACUGUAGUGGGAGAAGUUUUAAUGGAUGGGCUUUCGGACAGGGGUUCGAUUCCCCUCAGCUCCAUAU